UACGGAGGGUGCAAGCGUUAUCCGGAUUCACUGGGUUUAAAGGGUGCGUAGGUGGGUCUGUAAGUCCGUGGUGAAAUCUCCGAGCUUAACUUGGAAACUGCCAUGGAUACUAUAGGUCUUGAAUACUGUGGAGGUCAGCGGAAUAUGUCAUGUAGCGGUGAAAUGCUUAGAUAUGACAUAGAACACCAAUUGCGAAGGCAGCUGGCUGCACAAAUAUUGACACUGAUGCACGAAAGCGUGGGGAUCAAACAGG
rnacentral:rRNA from 1 species